UAAUUUUAGGAAGUACCAGGUACAAGAUAAUCAUCAUAUCAUCCUGUUAUCACAUGCAAGCCUUUCUUAAAAUAAGCUCAUUGAAGAAUCUACCACAUCCCCUCUAAAAAAUUUCCCAAAGUGUCAAAAAAAUAAAAGAAAAAGAACCUAUCACAUUCGAUGCAUAGUAAAAUCUCACACAUGCAACCAAUGUGUUAAUUUAUUUUGAUGAAUUAAACCAUAAAACUGGGAAUCGUGUGAACAGAGGAAAAGAAUACAGGAAUUCAUCAAUAGCAAGACGCUUGGUAUCCUUAAAGAAGAAUAUUGAACACAAAAUACACAAAAUGUGAAAAUAUGGCGAAUGCAUAUACAUCAUCCAAAAUAAAUCAGCUCCAAAAUUCUGUUCUCAAUUUACCAAAAGAGACGACCAAAAUCCUAGCUUACAUGUAAUGCAUGAUCUACCUUUCAAAUAGCAAACAUCAUCAAAUGCACUGCAACACCAAUGAAACCAUUUAUAGGCCACCUACUUACUAUUUCUACAAAAAAUGUUACUUAUUUAGUUGAAGGAUGGCUAUUGACAUGAACAACAUUAACUACCGCAUGAGCAUACCUAAGGCAGAGACAUUGUUCUGAAGCAAAGAUUAUAAAUUAAAAACCAACAGAACUGCAGUAAAGAAAACUUAACUACUACCAUGAAAAUAG
rnacentral:misc_RNA from 1 species